rnacentral:rRNA from 1 species
GCCUAAAGCGUCCGUAGCCGGCUCUGUUAGUUUUCGGUUAAAUCCAUAUGCUCAACAUAUGGGCCGCCGGGAAUACUACAAAGCUAGGGAGUGGGAGAGGUAGACGGUACUCCGUAGGAAGGGGUAAAAUCCUUUGAUCUAUGGAUGACCACCAGUGGCGAAGGCGGUCUACCAGAACACGUUCGACGGUGAGGGAUGAAAGCUGGGGGAGCAAACCGGAUUAGAUACCCGGGUAGUCCCAGCUGUAAACUAUGCAAACUCAGUGAUGCAUUGGCUUGUGGCCAGUGCAGUGCCGCAGAGAAGUCGUUAAGUUUGCCGCCUGGGAAGUACGUACGCAAGUAUGAAACUUAAAGGAAUUGGCGGGGGAGCACCACAAGGGGUGAAGCCUGCGGUUCAAUUGGAGUCAACGCCAGAAAUCUUACCCGGAGAGACAGCAGGAUGAAGGUCAAGCUGAAGACUUUACCAGACAAGCUGAGAAGUGGUGCAUGGCCGUCGCCAGCUCGUGCCGUGAGAUGUCCUGUUAAGUCAGGUAACGAGCGAGAUCCUUGCCUCUAGUUGCCACCAUUACUCUCAGGAGUAGUGGGGCGAAUUAGCGGGACUGCCGUAGUUAAUACGGAGGAAGGAGAGGGCCACGGCAGGUCAGUAUGCCCCGAA